AUACGGAGGGUGCGAGCGUUGUUCGGAAUUAUUGGGCGUAAAGAGCAUGUAGGCGGUCUGCUAAGUCUGGUGUGAAAGCCCGGGGCUCAACCCCGGAAGUGCAUUGGAUACUGGCAGACUUGAGUAUGGGAGAGGAAAGCGGAAUUCCGAGUGUAGGAGUGAAAUCCGUAGAUAUUCGGAGGAACACCAGUGGCGAAGGCGGCUUUCUGGACCAAUACUGACGCUGAGAUGCGAAAGCGUGGGGAGCGAACAGGAUUAGAAACCCCAGUAGUCC
rnacentral:rRNA from 1 species